rnacentral:rRNA from 1 species
GAUGAACGCUAGCGGCAGGCCUAAUACAUGCAAGCCGAACGGUAAGAUUUGUAGCAAUACGAGUCCUAGAGUGGCGUAAGGGUGCGUAACACGUAUGCAAUCUGCCCGCAACUGGAGGAUAGCUCGGGGAAACCCGGAUUAACCCUCCAUAAGAUCACACAAUGGCAUCAAAGAGUGAUUAAAUCUCCGGAGGUUGCGGAUGAGCAUGCGGUUGAUAGCUAGUUGGUAGUGUAACGGACUACCAAGGCAAUGAUCAAUA